GCUGCUUUUAGUUUGGUUUUGCUGGUACAGCUCAGGUAGCGGUAUUGGUAUCUUCAGGAGUUUGUGUGAGAUGUGAGAAGCUGAGGAAACACCUAGGAAGAAGAAAUGGGCCUGUGGGCCUCCUCCCUGCAUGACACUUUCUAUGGCUGUCUCCUCUCUACCAUACAACUAGUCACAGGAUUGCCUGAACAUCUAUAUCAGACCUCACCACUUUCUACUUGCUGAAGCUGGACCACAGUGUGGAGGCCUCAGCCUGGCACCUUACCAACAGCCUUUCCC